CUUCAUUUAACAUCCUGGUAUCUGACUUCUGCUCACAGAUCACAGGCGACGAGCAUCUUAACAGACAACGUCCUUCUCUGCUCCUCACAGAGAGAUGAGAGGAGCAGCUAUGAGUUUAACAGCAGCAGCGAGUGGAUUUGUUGUCUUCCUUCUCUCUGUGUCAGUGGUACAGGGUCAGAAUGACUGGGGAGUGACUUACACUUCUACUCACAUCUGUGCCUUAAAAGGAUCAACAGUGGACAUAAAGUGCACCUACAGAUACC